GGGCCCGCACAAGCGGAGGAACAUGUGGUUUAAUUCGAUGAUACGCGAGGAACCUUACCCGGGCUCGAACGGCAAAUGAACGACUCAGAGAUGAGAAGGUCCUUCGGGACAUUUGUCGAGGUGCUGCAUGGUUGUCGUCAGCUCGUGCCGUGAGGUGUCGGCUUAAGUGCCAUAACGAGCGCAACCCUUGUCGUCAGUUACCAGCGCGUAAAGGCGGGGACUCUGGCGAGACUGCCACCGUAAGGUGAGAGGAGGGGGGGGAUGACGUCAAAUCAGCACGGCCCUUACGUCCGGGGCGACACACGUGUUACAAUGGUCGGUACAGAGGGUAGCUACCUAGUGAUAGGAUGCCAAUCUCAAAAACCGAUCUCAGUUCGGAUCGGAGUCUGCAACUCGACUCCGUGAAGUUGGAUUCGCUAGUAAUCGCGCAUCAGCCAUGGCGCGGUGAAUACGUUCCCGGGCCUU
rnacentral:rRNA from 1 species